UGAGGAAUAUUGGUCAAUGGCCGAGAGGCUGAACCAGCCAAGCCGCGUGAAGGAAGAAGGUACUAAGUAUCGUAAACUUCUUUUGUCAGGGAACAAAAGCGGGGAUGCGUCCCUGUGUGAGUGUACCUGAAGAAAAAGCAUCGGCUAACUCCGUGCCAGCAGCCGCGGUAAUACGGAGGAUGCGAGCGUUAUCCGGAUUUAUUGGGUUUAAAGGGUGCGUAGGCGGGCUGUUAAGUCAGCGGUAAAAGCCCGGAGCUCAACUCCGGCGAGCCGUUGAAACUGGCGGUCUUGAGUUGGCGAGAGGUAUGCGGAAUGCGCAGUGUAGCGGUGAAAUGCAUAGAUAUUGCGCAGAACUCCGAUUGCGAAGGCAGCAUACUGGCGCCACACUGACGCUGAGGCACGAAAGCGUGGGUAUCGAACAGG
rnacentral:rRNA from 1 species